AGUCUUGUUUGGUAGCCAAGGAUGACUUGCCUGCUCCAUUGUAGGAGGUUUCCGAAAAAAUGCAGACAUGUAUAAUUUCGAAACCCCUGUUUCGUUUCAGGCAGUCUCCUUGGCUAACUUGACUGGCUCU
rnacentral:pre_miRNA from 13 species